UAACCGGCUUUGGAUCCAUCUCCUUCACCGGUCCAACAUUCAAAAUAGGUCAACGACACCUCUAAAACGACGGAAGGUAAUGAAAGAAUGUGGAGCAGAUCAAACAAGAGGCACGUCACCUUCCAUGAGCCGCGUUAUGGAGCUGCGUCAUGGAGUUGUUCGGUGUUAUAUUGCUGUCGUGCUUCAACCUUCUCAUUCAUUUCUUCUCAUCGUCAAUCAAAUUCAGGCGCGGAUCACAUUGAUGCAUACUUCAUCUCUCGGUCUCGCAUUCGAUCAUCCUCGUCGUGAUUCAAUAAUGCAAGCGUCCAAGUAUCUAAUUCGCCUGUACUGAAUUGCGAUGGCGUCACCAAAUAGAGCUAAAACACAAUGAAGAGAAGACGAAGAACAUACCGGUUGCGGCGCUGCUUGCAAGAACAUGUAAGCUUCAUCUUAAAUUCGAACUCUUCGACACGUUCGUGUUGGUUGUGAUCCUGCUCUCUUCCUCUCUUCUGAACUUUUUCUCUUUCCACUUUACAACGCUUGCGUGAAGGAGUUUCGGCUACAGAAUCCGGUGAAAUCCAGUUGCGGCAUUCAGUUGCAGAAUCGAUUUUCCAAAUCCAGCUGCAAAAUGAAGUUGAAGUAUUCAGUUGCAGAAUGGAGAAGAAGUAUUCAGUUACAGAAUGGAGAAGAAGUACUCAGUUGCAGAAUGGAGAAGAAGAUGAUUGUAGCUUGCAGUGGAUCCCGAAGCUUGAAGUGGAGAAAAUUGCAGAAUUGCUUGAAGUGAAGAAAAUUGCAGCAUUGUUUGAAGUGAAGAAGCUGAAAUGUUAUAUAGAGGAAGGAAAAGUUAUAACCGAAUUGGGAAGUGCGGGCAACUUGGUUAGGGUAGGUAAAUUUUGUUAGAUUCCAAAGUGUAACUUUGUUGUGUGAGUUAAUAGUGUGAGGAACUGUUAGAUUCUUUUGAGUUCAGAUAGGAUUAGGCUAUUAGAGGUGUCAGUCUGUUAGUGAAGUUUGUUACAGGUUAGCUGCCAAUGGUUAGUGAUUCAGUUGGGUUAGUUAGAGUGAAAUUAGAAGGAUUCCUUUGCAAUGUUCAGUUGGAUACUAGGUGAAUUGUUAGUUAGGAUCAAUUAGCGAUAUGCGGACUAGUUUAUUCAAAGGAUAAAGCUUGUAUUGUCAUUAUGUUAGUAACUACAAUCCAAAUUCGGUUAAUGGGUUUAUGUAGAUUUGGUUAAUUGAAUGAAACUGAAAUGAUCUUGUUUUAUAUUUGAGGUGAAUUUGAGGUUCAUUUGGAAGCUGAAUUUGGAGAGUUAUGUCAUGAAGCUGCAAUUUGGCUUGGACCGGGAUGUUAUUCUGCAUCAUUCUGCAAUGGCCUAUGUCAGAAUCUCUUCCUGCUUAUGAGUGUUUGAAGCAAUCAUGUUUGUAUGUUAUGCUGCAGCAAUAUGCAGGCUGGAUGGGAGUUCAUUUUUCCUUCACGAGUUUGUUUGAAAUGUUAAUGUGAACUUGUUGAAAAAGAUGGAUUGUGUAUGGUUGGCCAAUGGCUUGAAGUGCAUUGGAUAUGCUUGGACAUGUGGAAUGGCUAUGAGGCUUGGGCUAGGAUGCAAUGGAGUGUCUUGGCUUGGUUGGAAUUGAUUUUUAGACAAUAUUCUUUUGGGAUUUGAAUGUUGAAUUUGGAUUGUAAUUUAGUUGUAAAUUGAAAUGAAUUAUGUAUGUUAGAAGAUGAAUUGGAAUGUAUAGAUGUAACUUUUGAAUGGAAAUUAUAUUGGUUCGAAUUUGACUUAUGAAUGAAA